rnacentral:rRNA from 1 species
CCGCAUCUGUGCAUGCAGCAUAUCAAUAAGCGGAGGAAAAGAAACUAACAAGGAUUCCCCUAGUAACGGCGAGUGAAGCGGGAAGAGCUCAAAUUUGAAAUCUUAAAGGGUUUCCCUUUACGAAUUGUAGUUUAAAGAAGUGUUUUCUGUUGAGGUUUUGGUAAAAGUUCUUUGGAAUAGGACAUCAUAGAGGGUGAGAAUCCCGUAUUUGACCUUUACUUUCAACUUUGUGAUACACUUUCAAAGAGUCGGAUUGUUUGGGAAUGCAGUCCAAAAUGGGUGGUAAAUUUCAUCUAAAGCUAAAUAUUGGCGAGAGACCGAUAGCGAACAAGUACCGUGAGGGAAAGAUGAAAAGAACUUUGAAAAGAGAGUUAAACAGUACGUGAAAUUGUCAAAAGGGAAGCGUUUGACACCAGUGUUGUUUUUCUGAAAAUCAAUUAAAGAACUGUUUAUGCUAAGCUGUUUAGACUUUAUCAGCUAUCUGCUUAGUUUUGAGCUUUUCUUUAAUGCACUUUUCAGUUAACAAGUCAACAUCAAUUUCUUUUGCUGUAAAAAAGCUUGAGGAAGGUGGCUUGAGAUUCGUCUUAAGUGUUUAUAGCCUCUUGCCUAUGCAGUCGGAGAGAUUGAGGUCUGCAGCGUAGAUCCUUCGGGGCUAAAUGCAUUUGUGCUAAGUUAUAGCAUUUUAUAGACAACUUGUUGACUAUGAUUUGUCUUGUAGCUUACUCGCUUAUGUUAUUUUACCUACGCUUAGGAUGUUGAGUCAUCACACAUCUCU